UACGGAGGGUGCGAGCGUUGUCCGGAAUCAUUGGGCGUAAAGGGCGCGUAGGUGGCGGGACAAGCGUGCGGUGAAAGCUCGGGGCUCAACCCCGAGUCGGCCGUGCGAACUGUCUUGCUCGAGCACUGUAGAGGCAGGCGGAAUUCCGGGUGUAGCGGUGGAAUGCGUAGAGAUCCGGAAGAACACCGGUGGCGAAGGCGGCCUGACUGGGCCGACACUGACGCUGAGGCGCGAAAGCCAGGGGAGCGAACGGG
rnacentral:rRNA from 1 species